GGGGUUGUGGCUCAGUGGUGGAGCACUCACCUAGCAUGUGUGAGGCUCUGGGUUCAAUCUUCAGCACCACA
rnacentral:tRNA from 1 species